AAGCUGGAGCUUGCUCCGGUGGAUUAGUGGCGAACGGGUGAGUAACACGUGAGAAAUCUGCCCCUGACUCUGGGAUAACUGCGGGAAACUGUAGCUAAUACCGGAUACUUUCCCUGGUGGGCAUCCACUGGGGAAGAAAGAAUUUCGGUCAGGGAGGAUCUCGCGGCCUAUCAGCUAGUUGGUGAGGUAACGGCUCACCAAGGCGACGACGGGUAACCGGCCUGAGAGGGUGANGGGUCACACUGGGACUGAGACACGGCCCAGACUCCUACGGGAGGCAGCAGUGGGGAAUAUUGCACAAUGGGCGCAAGCCUGAUGCAGCAACGCCGCGUGAGGGAUGAAGGCCUUCGGGUUGUAAACCUCUUUUAGCAGGGGAAGAAGCGAAAGUGACGGUACCUGCAGAAAAAGCACCGGCUAACUACGUGCCAGCAGCCGCGGUAAUACGUAGGGUGCAAGCGUUGUCCGGAAUUAUUGGGCGUAAAGAGCUCGUAGGCGGUUUGUCACGUCUGCUGUGAAAAUCCAAGGCUCAACCUUGGACUUGCAGUGGGUACGGGCAGGCUAGAGUGCGGUAGGGGAGAUGGGAAUUCCUGGUGUA
rnacentral:rRNA from 1 species